AGGAGGGGAGGGUGGGAGAGGAGAAACGUGUAAUCACCCAAACAACCAUUUUUACCCAUUUCACCCCCUCUGGAUCUGUGUCGCAAGUCUGCCGUGAGCUUAUCUGUCUUUCACUGCGGAUACCGUGAAGGGAGGCCGGACCGUGAGGGAGACGCCAAGAGAAUUGGCACUUUGGAGGAAAGUCCAUGCAAAACAUCUCCAUCUAUCAUGCUGGCUGGGUUUCCACAGCAGUGUUAUUGACAUAGUAAAUUAAAGGAGGCACACAUCAGGUAGCUGACGGAUCGGAGACAUCAACAGCAAACUUAUAAUCGCAGCUCUGUCACAGUGGGAGGAAGAGAAAAAUCAGAUGCCCAGGAGGUACGGGAAAUCGCAUGCCAAAGACACAUUACUCCUGCACUCCAAUUUGCACACCUUUUCUUUAUCACCUGGAGGUCAAACCGCACCAUUACAUCACUUUGUAUUCACCCAAAUGCAGUGCAGUGUAUUAGUACAUACUGUAUUACAUUAAAGGUGCAGACCUUUAACACAGAAACACAUUUACACACAUCCUAAUCAACAAGCUCCGCUUUAAAUGAUUCAGAGACACGUACCUGGGCCUAUCCAUAUUCUCUGGUGAGAGAAGCUAGGAUAUAUUUGGAACAUCACACUUUUAAGAGCGUGAGCUUUAACUCCCCUGGGUCAUUUUCUGCUCUGGUCUUAAUUGAGAGUGUUCUGGAAAAAUCAUUACUAUAUUAAUGAUUUAACACAAAGUAACUACCUGCUUUUUUCCAGGAGGAAAGGGAGAUUUGCUUCGAAUCAAUACCCAUGCACGCUCAUUAUAAGGGGGGUAAAGUUAUAGUAAUUAGGCAGACACCAAUAACUUUUUAAUGAUCUUUGUUUUUAAUUGCAUAUUAUCGGGUUGCACAGUCUGUGUGUUUAUACCCAAAUAUAAGAUAAUGGUGAGGGGAGAAGUAGAUUAAAGAGAGGAGGCACCUGCAAGGUCUUUUACCUCAGCAACAACAACAGCACUGCCGGUCUGCAGCAUGCAUGGUGGAGGAGAGGAUGAAUGUGAGCAUCUUUUCUUUUUCUUUUGUGCCUUUUCUAUCAAUUUUCUAGUAAAGUUCCUAUCAUGUGUUGUGAAAUAACACUUCCCUUCCUGCUGUCUAUUAGGCUGAGGAAGUGAAAGGACCGUCGCAAAAAGUGGUGUGAGAAGGUUUCAGAGAGAUCAAAACAUUAAUAUGCCAGUUGAAUCAUUGGGUGUUACAACCACCUACUUCCUCUCUCCAAAAAGAUGCCUUACAGGUCAACAGUAAACAAUCUCUGUUUUGAUAUUUGACAUCUAUUUCAACCGAUUGUAAGCAGUCUUGUGUGCCAGUGUUGACUAGAAAGGUGCCGUUUUGCCACUGUGGAAAAAAAGCAAUAAAAAUAUGAAUGCAAAUGAGGAUAAAACGCAGCAGCAAUGGAUAGCCAUCUGUUAGCUCUUAAAGGGGAAGUGGUCUACUCAAAGAAGUGGAGGGGUGAGCAUCUAAGAGAGAAUAGGGAGGGUGGGAGUGAGCGGGAGAAAUGUGGUGAUAGAAAGAGCCCAGGAAUGCCAGUCUGGCAAUCCAGGACGGCUCUGAAUAAGUGAGCCAGCCAAGAGCUUUUUUUUUUCCCCCUUCUAAUUCUGCCUGAUGCCUUCCUUUACCCCCACCCCUCUGGCCCUCCUCCCUCCCCUUCCUCCCUCGGCCUGUUCACUCUGGCCCGCUCCCCGAAACUCCACGGCAGAUUGUCGAUUCAAUGACUCCCCUGUCAGGUGAUUAUCUAGGAGCUUUAAUGUAAUCUUCCACUCACACAUACCAUAUUUCAAUUACGACUGCCAUUGUGAAACAAGCUGCAUAUUCAAUUCAGCAAUCGCCCCGCCGCUGCCUCAACAAUGUCAACUGUAAAAGAACGCCAGCUGAAGGCAAUUAUGCAUGUUUUCAGAGCCAAUUAUGAUCGCUCUCACGGCGGCGGUUAUGCCACGAGCAAGGGAGUGUUUGGAAAUUUUUAAUUUAAUGACAAUAUGCUCAUGGUAGGAUUCAGCGUGCCGCCCCCACUCCCAGGCCUGCCAUCUCGGCAUCCACAGAGGGAACCAUUAAGGCAGAUAGGAGAAGAUUAUGGUCUCUCUCAAGGGCCAUACUGGGAGCACAGGGAGGGUCUCAGCAGUGCAGGGUAGAUGGCAUCCACUCAUCCUCUCUGCAGGAUCACAGCUGGCAGGGCUGAGUCCAAGCUAGACAGGCAGGCUGGUUAGCUCGUCUUCCAGUUUGGACUAUGCCUGCAGAGGGAGCAUAAACUCACACAUUCCCACAGCAGGCCACAGAGCGAGAGAUGCUGUAGAGAGAGAUCAGAGUCCGCUCUGCGGGGCUUUCUUCCUUAAUAUUUCUGAGAGGCAUGUGAGCUCUACAUCAUUGGGUCUGAAAGCUUUCGGAAAAUGGUCUUGAGCUUGAUUUGACUGUCUUUGUUUCAAACUGUGAAAACCAGUCCAAAUCAAUGUGCACGACAAAAAGUUAAGUGAGUAAAAAGUUCCUGUUUGUUCACAAAGUGAAGCCUUUUUUUUAAUUCUUACAAUCUGUCAUUUUAAAGAACCAUUUGGCAGAGAAAUGUCUAAAAACUGAAUAAAGUUGCUAGAGCGCAAGGUUACAUUUACACAUCUAUUUUGUCAAAUAAAUAGUCCCAAAUCAAAAGAUACUCAAUUUAAAAUCAAAAACUGUUUACAUAUGAAAAGCUGGGAAUAAUAUUUUUUGUCAUCUAAUAAAUACAUUUCAAUCAAUUCAAUAAAGUUUAAAAAGAAACGCUUUAGCACCAAUUUAGUAGGAGCAGAAAAAGGUAAAACCACCUUAGAAUAGUAUUUUCAAGAAAUCAAUGCUAUGUCUGCAUAUAUAAUUACCUCAUUAUAACCAACUAGAGGUUAUAGAUUACACCGAUUUUUAUUUUCCAUCACAGCGCUAAAGUAGUCAUGUAGUGACAGAGAAUUUAUCGUCCAUAUUUUUGGCCAGCAGAUUUAAAAGCCCCAUUGUUCAAAUAACAGAAUGCAGGUUAGAUCUGAGCCUCCCUUCCUCUCCCACUGGGAUGUUUGUCUAAAACCCAGUCAGUUCUCAGGGGUAGAGGUUGACAGGAGAAGACAUCGCCCCAGUCCCUGGGAGAUUGGCGAACACAACACAUAUAUUAAUGCAUUAAAUGUGUUGACUGUGUUCAGCCCAGGGAUGCAGGAGGGAGAGAGAGAGAAAGGUUAGGGGGAAAGGGAAAAAAAAGCUCUUGUAAUGUAUGGUGUUGUCUUGUAUAGCGUGUCUGGCAGCACGCGGGGGGGGUUGGAGGAGUGUCGGCCAGAUUAUAAGGCCUGUGGUGAGAGAUGAGGGAUGGCCGACUUGUAAACAAGUGACAAGCGUCCUGGAUGACAAUUCCUAAUCCAUCAUAGUGCUGUCAGCGGUGACCGGUGAGGUGACGGACAGGACCCAGGAGAGGGGACAGCUGCUGCACGUCAAUCCACAUCAUAAUUUGAAAAGCUUUUCCACAUGAGCUGAAACAGAGGGAGAGAGGAAGAGAACAGAACUCAUAUAUGCCACUGUCUGCAACUCCUUCUCCUCAAUCUGCCUCCAUUUCUUCCUCCUCUCUCUUCCCUAACUACUGGUGAAGACAGAGAUGAAGUACUGUCCUCUUCUCUUUCAGAUGGUGAACUGGAAAACAUGGCGUCCUUAAACUUGUCUUUGCUGAUGGGACUAUAAUCAGACAAAGAGAAAGUGCGUCAAGUCUAGCUGUAAAUACACACAAGACACCAUAUUACCUUCCAAGGUUGUGGGAAAACACUUCAAAGAGUUUGUUACUUUACACAUUUACUUAGCUUUUAAUACAAGUUGUUGAAGUAAGUGUUUUUAAUUAUUUAUUUUCUAUUUCAGAAACAUGUUAUUACCAUUUUUUAUUAUGCUGCUGCUUUGAGUAUUUUUGCAUUAGAAGGCUUUUAAACUCUGUAAGAUUUUAUGUAUUUUUCUACUCUUUCAUUUGUUCUAACAACAGUCUGAAUAAAAGUUUCAGCCUUUGUGUUUUGUCUCACAGACUCCACUGCUGUUGUGUCACAAUGAUAACAAUAAUUGCUAAAUCUAGUUGUGUUUGUGUUGUUUGUUUGUUUUCUGACCUCAUUAGAAUCCAAUAAGUAGAAAGGCAAUAAAGUGGUAACUAUUCCUUUUGCUACAAACUGGGCUUGAUGAACGUGAAGAAACAUAAAGGAAAGUGUUGCUAUUAUACCAAAUAAAAAGAUAUUUCAUGUUUUAUGUAAUAUGGAUUAUGCAUGAAUAAAUAUGCUUUUUAGUUGGAACAGGGUUUUCUGCGCAUAUUCCAGAUGUUCAGGAAAGCAAAUUAACAAAAAAAAGUCCAAAAAGACUUGGGUAGCUCUGUAUAAACAGUACUGUCAACACCAAUCACAUAUCAUAUUUAACCAUGUUUUACACCAUUUUGUGUUUGUAAACAAUUGUCCUAAAAUGAGGAAAAGUUAUUAAAGGGUUUGUUUGAAAUUUC